rnacentral:rRNA from 1 species
AGAAUCAACGCUGGCGGCGUGCCUCAGACAUGCAAGUCGAACGCGAAAGGCCCCUUCGGGGGCUGAGUAGAGUGGCGCACGGGUGAGUAACACGUAGGUAAUUUGCCUUUGGGUGGGGAAUAACUCAGGGAAACUUGAGCUAAUACCGCAUAAUGCAGCGGCUCGACAUCGAGACAGUUGUUAAAGCGGGGGAUCGCAAGACCUCGCGCCUAAAGAGAAGCCUGCGGCAGAUUAGCUAGUUGGUAGGUAAUGGCCUACCAAGGCGACGAUCU